AGUUGUUUGGCUUCCCUCUGUGUCUCCGGCUCUGGUGGUGAUUGCACGGUGAGGAAAUGCAAUGUUGCCUGAACUUUGCAAGCUGAGACUUGCUGGCAGGCCCAGGACCAGGCUGGCUGCAGCUCUGCCAGCCCUGUGUCCUGCUGCUCAGGGGAGACAGAUAGCAACGAGAUGGAAUUAGCCUAGAUCAGUACAAUGUCAUGAAAAUCCUCUUUUACAACUUCGGGAGGAGGUUGAAAGUAGGUCAUCAGGUGAUUCGGCUACCAAUGAUGACUUGGAUCCUGUAAGCCAAAGAAGAUGUGACAGUGAGAUGGAGCAAGAUGUGCCACAUCGAGAAGUACAGAAUGAAGACCCCUGAUUCAGAUGAGGAAGAAAACAGUAAUGUAAAUGAAUAUUUGACUAGUCAAAAUGUUACAAAAUGAUCAUGUAUACGUGAGUGAUGCAACAUUAGAACUGGGUUGAAAAAUGUUAUUAGGUUCCUGCCAGGGUGAAACCUGUUGACAGAAUGCCAACACCAUGAUUCAGUGCUGACAUCCACUGUGAUCCAAUGUCUGUAAUGGAUGAUAUGCUACAAGAUGUUUUGAAGUAGACUAAUAAUGAAAUACAAGUAAAACAUUCUUUUUACAUCAGUAGUAAUGCCCAAAAAUAUAUUUAUCAUGACAUCUCACUGUCUGAACUAAAAGUCUUCAUAGCAGGACUUUAUUAUUCUGAUCAUUAGAAUCCAAAGGAUUUAUGGAGAAGUGACAGAUGUGGUAUUGAGAUUUUUAGAACAAUGAUAACACUUAAGAGACUUGGUUUCCUUCAAAAUUGUCUAUGUUUUGACAACAAAAAGACCUGCCAAGAAAGAAAAAAUUCUGACAACUUAGCGUCGAGACAUUUGCCCUUGAGUGGUUGUCUUGAUGGUACAUCCCAGUUGGUUGAAUUUUCCAGCAACCCUCUGUGGUUUCCUGUCCUUUAGGCUCUCUUCUAGAUAGGGAAUUUGUCUCUGCUCACACACUCUCAGGUCCUGUUCAGUCUUACUGAAUGCUGUGGCUCCUUACUGGC
ensembl:lncRNA